ACGCUGGCGGCAGGCUUAACACAUGCAAGUCGAACGGUAACAGGAAUUAGCUUGCUAAUUUGCUGACGAGUGGCGGACGGGUGAGUAAUGCUUGGGAAUCUGGCUUAUGGAGGGGGAUAACUACGGGAAACUGUAGCUAAUACCGCGUAAAAUCUUCGGAUUAAAGGGUGGGACUUUCGAGCCACCUGCCAUAAGAUGAGCCCAAGUGGGAUUAGGUAGUUGGUUAGGUAAAGGCUGACCAAGCCGACGAUCUCUAGCUGGUCUGAGAGGAUGACCAGCCACACUGGAACUGAGACACGGUCCAGACUCCUACGGGAGGCAGCAGUGGGGAAUAUUGCACAAUGGGGGGAACCCUGAUGCAGCCAUGCCGCGUGAAUGAAGAAGGCCUUCGGGUUGUAAAGUUCUUUCGGUAUUGAGGAAGGAGUGUAUGUUAAUAGCAUACAUUAUUGACGUUAAAUACAGAAGAAGCACCGGCUAACUCCGUGCCAGCAGCCGCGGUAAUACGGAGGGUGCGAGCGUUAAUCGGAAUAACUGGGCGUAAAGGGCACGCAGGCGGUUAUUUAAGUGAGGUGUGAAAGCCCCGGGCUUAACCUGGGAAUUGCAUUUCAGACUGGGUAACUAGAGUACUUUAGGGAGGGGUAGAAUUCCACGUGUAGCGGUGAAGUGCGUAGAGAUGUGGAGGAAUACCGAAGGCGAAGGCAGCCCCUUGGGAAUGUACUGACGCUCAUGUGCGAAAGCGUGGGGAGCAAACAGGAUUAGAUACCCUGGUAGUCCACGCUGUAAACGAUGUCGAUUUGGGGAUUGGGCUUUGAGCUUGGUGCCCGUAGCUAACGUGAUAAAUCGACCGCCUGGGGAGUACGGCCGCAAGGUUAAAACUCAAAUGAAUUGACGGGGGCCCGCACAAGCGGUGGAGCAUGU
rnacentral:rRNA from 1 species